GACGGAGGAUGCAAGUGUUAUCCGGAAUCACUGGGCGUAAAGCGUCUGUAGGUGGUUUAAUAAGUCAACUGUUAAAUCUUGAGGCUCAACUUCAAAAUCGCAGUCGAAACUAUUAGACUAGAGUAUAGUAGGGGUAAAGGGAAUUUCCAGUGGAGCGGUGAAAUGCGUAGAGAUUGGAAAGAACACCAAUGGCGAAAAGCACUUUACUGGGCUAUCACUGACACUGAGAGACGAAAGCUAGGGUAGCAAAUGGG
rnacentral:rRNA from 1 species